rnacentral:rRNA from 1 species
GCUUAGCCUUAAGCCUUCAAUUACACCCCAAACGCCAGGGAACUACGAGCAAAGCUUAAAACCCAAGGGACUUGACGGUACCCCAUAUCCCCCUAGAGGAGCCUGUCCUAUAAUCGAUAACCCCCGUUCAACCUCACCAUCUUUAGCCUAUCAGUCUGUAUACCUCCGUCGUCAGUUUACCGCAUGAGUGCCCUAAAGUAAACCAAAUGUCCUCACCCGUCAACACGUCAGGUCAAGGUGCAGCUAACAAGAUGGGAAGAGAUGGGCUACACUCUCUAAUAUAGAGCACACAGAGAAUUUAUAUGAAACCCAGUUCAAAGGUGGAUUUAGCAGUAACAGGGGUAAUAGCACCCCUUUUAAGCAGGCCCUGGGGUGUGUACACACCGCCCGUCACCCUCCUCGCAGCUCUCGCAAAAGUAUUUUACAAAACCCAGCAUCGUAGAGGAGGUAAGUCGUAACAUGGUAAGUGCACCGGAAGGUGCGCUUGGAAA